CACCUAGGGGAUGGCUCGGCUCGGGUCACCGACGAAGGGCGUGACAAGCUGCGAUAAGCCCGGGCGAGGUGCAUGUAGCCUUUGAACCCGGGAUGCCCGAAUGCGACUCGCGUAGGGGGUAAACCCCCUACACUCGCGGGCUUUGCUCGCGAGGGGGAACGCGGGGAAUUGAAACAUCUUAGUACCCGCAGGAAAAGAAAGCAAAAGCGAUGCCCUGAGUACCGGCGAGGGAAAGGGGCGGAGGGCAAACUGAAUCUUCCGACGAAAGUCGGAAGAGAUGUGGGGUUUGCUCUUCACCAUACACAAGCCUCGCUGGAGAAGCCGAAGUGAGCUGGAAUGCUCCGCCAUAGAGGGUGAAAGCCCCGUAGGCGUAAUCCAGCAGGCUUGUGGUGAAGAGCAGAGUAGCGCGGGUUGGAUAUCCCGCGUGAAGGCGGGAGGCAUCGACUCCCAACCCUAAAUACGUCCCGAGACCGAUAGCGAACUAGUACCGUGAGGGAAAGCUGAAAAGUACCCCUGGCAGGGGGUGAAAAGAGCCUGAAACUAGGCGGCGAUAGCCUGUCAUGGCACGGAAGGAAUGAGGCUCCCCGAAGGAAAGCCUCGCGAGGGGCGAGUACGAGGGGAGUAGACCAGUGUCAUGACGUCCGUUUUGAAAAACGGGCCGGGGAGUUCACGGUCAUGGCGAGGUUAAGGGGGUUCAGCCCCGAAGCCGUAGCGAAAGCGACUGCCCGCAGCUCAUUUUGAGCGAGGGGCGGGGUAUGAAAGUGCCCGGAGUCAUGGCCGUGAGACCCGAGGCCGGUCGAUCUAGCCCAAGGCAGGGUGAAGUUGCGCGAAAGCGCAAUGGAGGCCCGAACCGGUGCUGAUAUGCAGAUCGCUCGGUUGACCCUGGGCUAGGGGCGAAAGACCAAUCAAGACCGGCGCCAGCUGGUUCCUCCCGAAAUGUGUCGCAGCACAGCCCAGCCGGAGGUAGACGGCGGUGUAGAGCACUGAUUGGGUGUUUAGGGGACGAAAGUCCUCGGCACCCUGUCAAACUCCGAAGCCGUCGUCGCCGUAGAUGGCUGGAGUGAGGGCUGGGGGGUAAGCUCCCAGUCCGAGAGGGGAAUAACCCUGACCGGGGUUAAGGUCCCAAAGUGCAGGCUAAGUGCUAAAUAAGAAGGGCGUCCCUGACCUAAGACAGCGGGGAGGUAGGCUUAGAAGCAGCCAUCCUUUAAAGAGUGCGUAACAGCUCACCCGCCGAGGUCAGGGGCCCCGAAAAUCGACGGGGCUAAGCCUGCCACCGAUACCCCGGAGGGGCGCAAGCCCAUCUGGUAGGGAGGCGUCUCGUCUGGGUAGAAGCUGGGGCGUAAGCUCCAGUGGACCGGGCGAGAGUGAGGAUCCCGGCAGUAGUAGCAGCAAAGUGGGGUGAGAAUCCCCACCGCCGGAGGGGCGAGGUUUCCUCGGCAAUGUUCGUCAGCCGAGGGUUAGCCGGUCCUAAGGGUGUGCGUAACUCGACACACCCGAAAGGGAAACGGGUUAAUAUUCCCGUGCCACCCGGAUACGUGCGGCGACGCAAGGCCCGCCUCUGACGCCUCGGGGUAGGCCAAGUGGAGCUGUCGCUCCAUCUAAGCGUAUAAGCCUGGGGAGGACCGUAAUGGUGAGAACCAGGCGAAAGCGCGAAUGGGCUUCCGUUAAGGAGGCUUUGGCUGAUCCCUGGGGCCCGUGAAAAGGGGGCGGGCAAGGAUUCCGGGUGACCGUACCUAGAACCGACACAGGUGCCCCUGGGUGAGAAGCCCAAGGCGUGUCGGAGAAAGCCGGCCUAGGGAAUUCGGCAAAUUGGCCCCGUAUCUUCGGUAGAAGGGGUGCCCACUGUCCCUGCUUAUGCAGGGAUCGGUGGGUCUCAGUAACGAGGGGGGCCCGACUGUUUAACAAAAACGUAGCUGGCCGCGAGCCUGUAAAGGUGUGUAUGGCCAGCGACUCUUGC
rnacentral:rRNA from 1 species